GAUGAAGAACGUAGCGAAAUGCGAUAAGUAGUGUGAAUUGCAGAAUUCAGUGAAUCAUCGAAUCUUUGAACGCACAUUGCGCCCUUUGGUAUUCCAAAGGGCAUGCCUGUUCGAGCGUCAUUUGUACCCUCAAGCUUUGCUUGGUGUUGGGCGUCUUGUCUCUAGCUUUGCUGGAGACUCGCCUUAAAGUAAUUGGCAGCCGGCCUACUGGUUUCGGAGCGCAGCACAAGUCGCACUCUCUAUCAACAAAGGUCUAGCAUCCAUUAAGCCUUUUUUUCAACUUUUGACCUCGGAUCAGGUAGGGAUACCCGCUGAACUUAAGCAUAUCAAUAAGCGGAGGA
rnacentral:misc_RNA from 1 species